ACAGACAUUUGCACUGGAAUGCGGACGGUUCCGAUCUCCUGAUACGUUCCAAAAGCAAGCAAAAACAGUCCAAAUCAUUUUCUAGUCAUCUGGGGCUCGUUCCAUCAGUCACCUUCAGUUAUUUUUGGAUCCAGAACCCUUAAGGGGACUGCCCUUCUCCUUUCUUCCAAGAAAACCAAAGACUCAAAUCCUGAAGCUCGCACUCAUGACCCACCAGUUAAGCACCAUGCUUGUAUCCAGACGUUACAAACCAACCACAGUUUCUUCAUGGUGGCCCAGCAUCUUGCAAACCACUGGUGGAAACAGAAUUCUAGGCUAAACCGACCUUGGUCUGACCAAGCAAAGCCAUUUUUAUACUCUUAUGUUUGCGAAGCUCAAGUUGUGUGUGCUACAACGCUGCAAGAAUUCAUUAAUUACAUUCGUGCAAAAUGUUCUUUUCUCAUAUCCCACGUUAAGAGGGAUAUGUAUGUAUGUAUAGCACACAUAGCAUACAUUUAGAUUUAUAGCUAUAGGUUUACGCUUUGCUUUGUUAACUUUCCUUUCUCAUUGAGUAUAUAAAAAUAUUAUAGCUUAGCAAGCUUCA